GACGAACGCUGGCGGCGUGCUUAACACAUGCAAGUCGAACGAUGAAGCUGGAGCUUGCUCCGGUGGAUUAGUGGCGAACGGGUGAGUAACACGUGAGCAAUCUGCCCUUGACUCUGGGAUAACUGCGGGAAACUGUAGCUAAUACCGGAUACGAGGCUCGAAGGCAUCUUCGGGUCUGGAAAGAAUUUCGGUCAAGGAUGAGCUCGCGGCCUAUCAGCUUGUUGGUGAGGUAAUGGCUCACCAAGGCGACGACGGGUAGCCGGCCUGAGAGGGUGACCGGCCACACUGGGACUGAGACACGGCCCGGACUCCUACGGGAGGCAGCAGUGGGGAAUAUUGCACAAUGGGCGAAAGCCUGAUGCAGCAACGCCGCGUGAGGGAUGAAGGCCUUCGGGUUGUAAACCUCUUCUAGCAGGGAAGAAGCGAAAGUGACGGUACCUGCAGAAAAAGCACCGGCUAACUACGUGCCAGCCGCCGCGGUAA
rnacentral:rRNA from 1 species